rnacentral:lncRNA from 1 species
AGUUAUAAUCUUCUUCUUAGCCUUAACCUUGCCUUCAUACAGGGAACUCUUCAACUCUUGUUUCAUCUGCAUCUGGCUUCCAUUUCAUCUGCGGUUUCUGGGCACUACCAGUCCUUCAUGUUGUUCAUCAAGCAUGUCUACACCUUCCUGAUCCUGGCUGCUCACACUGUCUCCACAGUCUGAUUCCAAGAAUUAGCCUGAGGUUCCUUUCCCACACGGGGAAAUGAUCUGGACCCAACGCGCUGUCUUCUACCAUGAAAAUAAUUUGUCCUGAUGCCUUUACUUCCCAUCUGCAGGAAUCAUACCAC